GUGCAAUUCAAAGCACUGAAUGAAUCAAAGUAUUUGAUCUGAGUGUAAUGUUUGUGAGUGUUAAAUGUUAGCUCCAUAUUGUUUUGUCACUCAAUUAUUUUCAUUGCUUUCAUGCAUCAAUAGUUUCUAUAUUCAGUUUUAAUUUUAGUUUCCUUGUUUUGUUAAUUUUUAGCAUUCAUAGAUUAGUUUUAGUUGCAUUCAUCACUUCUCAUUUUAUUUUAGAUUCUGUCUUGUUUUACAUAGAUUUAGAUUUUAGCUUAGGUUUCAAUUUUUAAUUUCUUUCUUACACUUGAUUCUUUUCCUUUCCUUAAACAGAGUUUGUUUUUAAUUCUUUUCUUUUCAUUCUUUCAUUUAUUUUCCCCACCUUGUCUGUUAGUCAGUAGUAAUUAGAAAAUAAACGCAAGAUUUAACUUUACACUUUAGACUUAAUUUCAAUGAGUCAUUGGAUUGAUCCUUGGUUGACCACUAUAUUUCAUUAGUGGGGAAUCAAGUUUGUUGGCUUUGAUGCGACUAAAAGCGAGUUUAACAAAUGGCACCGUUGUCGGGACUCGGCGAGUUAAUUUUUAAAGUGUUAGGUUAGUCUUGUUUAGGUUUGUUUUCUUGAUUGAAUUUCUGUUUCAUGUGCAUAUUUGUUUCUUUUUAGUUUAGAAUUUGUUCCUUCUUUUAGCAUUUUUUUUUGUAUAUUAGUAUCUGUUCUGC
rnacentral:lncRNA from 1 species